rnacentral:lncRNA from 1 species
CCCGGUUCUGGGUCCCCAGGUCCCGGUACCCCAAACUCGGGGUUUGGUGCCCCGGUUCCCGGUUUUGGAUCCCCAGAGCCAGGUCCCACAAACUCGGGACAGCUCCGGUGCCCGGUUCUGGGUCCCCACGUCCCGGUCCCCCAAAUUCGGGGCAUCCCCGGUGCCCGGUUCUGGGUGCCCCGAGCCCGGUUCCCCAAACUCGGGACAGCCCCGGUGCCCGGUUCUGGGUGCCCAGGUCCCGGUCCCCCAAACUUGGAGCUGCUCCAGUUCCCGGUUCUGGGUCCCCAGGUCCCGGUACCCCAAACUCGGGGUUUGGUGCCCCGGUUCCCGGUUUUGGAUCCCCAGAGCCAGGUCCCACAAACUCGGGACAGCUCCGGUGCCCGGUUCUGGGUCCCCACGUCCCGGUCCCCCAAAUUCGGGGCAUCCCCGGUGCCCGGUUCUGGGUGCCCCGAGCCCGGUUCCCCAAACUCAAACCGGCCCCGGUACCCGGUUCUGGGUGCCCAGAUCUCGGUUCCCCAAAUUCGGGGCUGCUCCGGUUGCCGGUUCUGGGUCCCCAGGUCCCCCAAACUCGGGGUAAGCCCGGUGCCCGGUUCUGGGUGCCCAGGUCCCGGUCCCCCAAACUCAGACCGGCCCCGGUGCCCGGUUCUGGGUGCCCAGGUCCCCCAAAUUCGGGGCAGCCCCGGUUCCCGGUUUUGGAUCCCCAGGUCCCGGUGCCCCAAACUAAGGACAGCCCCGGUGCCUGGUUCUGGGUCUCUAUACCCCGGUUUCGGUCCCCCAAACUCGGGGCAGCUCCGGUUCCCGGGUUUGGAUCCCCAGGUCCCGGUGCCCCAAACUCAGACCAGUCCCGAUUCCCGGUUCUGGGUCCCCAGGUCCCGGUUUCGGUCCCCCAAACUCAGACCAGCCCCUGGAUCCCCAGAUCCCGGUCCCCACCUCCGCGGCUGCUCCGGUGUCCGGAUCCCCCCACUUUUCUCCCCCGGCACAGCCCCGGUUCCCCAAAUUCGGGCCUGGACCGGUGUCCCCCCAACCCGGGGCAGCCCCGAGUGUCCGGACCGGUCCGGGUCUCCUACCCCCUAUCCCCCAUCCCGGGGCCCCUCCGGUGCCCGGUCCCGGGACCGGAUCCCGCUCCCCCCCGCCCCGCCCAGCCCCGUCCCCCAAUCCCGGGGCCAUUCCGGUGCCCGGUACCCCAAUCCCGGUGCCGGGUCCCGCUCCCCCACCCCCGGUCCUCCUACUCCCGUGCCGGGUCCCGCUCCGCCACGCCCGGCCCAGCUCGAUCACCGCACCCCGGGGCCGUUCCGGUGCCCGGUCCCCCAAUCCCGGCCCAGCUCCGUCCCCCAAUCCCGGGGCCACUCCCGCUGCCCGGUCCCCAGUUCCGGUGCCCGGUGCCCCAAUCCCGGUGCCGGAUCCCGGUUCCCCAAUCCCGGGGCCACUCCCGGUGCCGGAUCCCGGUUCCCCCCGCCCGGCCCCGCUCCACGUGGCAUCCCGCGGUCUGUCCCGGCCCUUCCCGGUGUUCCGGUGGCGGGGAGCGGUGCCGAAGGUUGGGGUCGGUCUCACCUGGCACCGGAGCGGAGCUGGCACCGUUUGCAGCGCUCCUUCCUCCGCUGCAGGCGGCGCGGGGCUCUCCGCUCGCCCUCCUGCCACAUCCCGGUGUUCCUGAUAUUCCCGCUGCUCCCGGAGGGGCGGAGCGGGAUAAGAUCGGCUCCGGGGGGCGGCUCCCGCUGCCGGCCCCGCCCCUC